UUAAGCGACUAAGCGUACACGGUGGAUGCCCUGGCAGUCAGAGGCGAUGAAGGACGUGCUAAUCUGCGAAAAGCGUCGGUAAGGUGAUAUGAACCGUUACAGCCGGCGAUGUCCGAAUGGGGAAACCCAGUGCAAUUCGUUGCACUAUCGUUAACUGAAUACAUAGGUUAACGAGGCGAACCGGGGGAACUGAAACAUCUAAGUACCCCGAGGAAAAGAAAUCAACCGAGAUUCCCCCAGUAGCGGCGAGCGAACGGGGAGCAGCCCAGAGUCUGAAUCAGCUUGUGUGUUAGUGGAACGGUCUGGAAAGUCCGACGGUACAGGGUGAUAGUCCCGUACACCAAAAUGCACAGGCUGUGAACUCGAAGAGUAGGGCGGGACACGUGGUAUCCUGUCUGAAUAUGGGGGACCAUCCUCCAAGGCUAAAUACUCCUGACUGACCGAUAGUGAACCAGUACCGUGAGGGAAAGGCGAAAAGAACCCCGGCGAGGGGAGUGAAAAAGAACCUGAAACCGUGUACGUACAAGCAGUGGGAGCACCUUCGGGUGUGACUGCGUACCUUUUGUAUAAUGGGUCAGCGACUUAUAUUCUGUAGCAAGGUUAACCGUAUAGGGGAGCCGCAGGGAAACCGAGUCUUAACUGGGCGUUAAGUUGCAGGGUAUAGACCCGAAACCCGGUGAUCUAGCCAUGGGCAGGUUGAAGGUUGGGUAACACUAACUGGAGGACCGAACCGACUAAUGUUGAAAAAUUAGCGGAUGACUUGUGGCUGGGGGUGAAAGGCCAAUCAAACCGGGAGAUAGCUGGUUCUCCCCGAAAGCUAUUUAGGUAGCGCCUCGUGAAUUCAUCUUCGGGGUAGAGCACUGUUUCGGCUAGGGGUCAUCCCGACUUACCAACCCGAUGCAAACUACGAAUACCGAAGAAUGUUAUCACGGGAGACACACGGCGGGUGCUAACGUCCGUCGUGAAGAGGGAAACAACCCAGACCGCCAGCUAAGGUCCCAAAGUCAUGGUUAAGUGGGAAACGAUGUGGGAAGGCACAGACAGCCAGGAUGUUGGCUUAGAAGCAGCCAUCAUUUAAAGAAAGCGUAAUAGCUCACUGGUCGAGUCGGCCUGCGCGGAAGAUGUAACGGGGCUAAACCAUGCACCGAAGCUGCGGCAGCGACACUAUGUGUUGUUGGGUAGGGGAGCGUUCUGUAAGCCUGCGAAGGUGACCUGUGAGGGUUGCUGGAGGUAUCAGAAGUGCGAAUGCUGACAUAAGUAACGAUAAAGCGGGUGAAAAGCCCGCUCGCCGGAAGACCAAGGGUUCCUGUCCAACGUUAAUCGGGGCAGGGUGAGUCGACCCCUAAGGCGAGGCCGAAAGGCGUAGUCGAUGGGAAACAGGUUAAUAUUCCUGUACUUGGUGUUACUGCGAAGGGGGACGGAGAAGGCUAUGUUAGCCGGGCGACGGUUGUCCCGGUUUAAGCAUGUAGGCUGAUUGUCCAGGCAAAUCCGGAUAAUCAAGGCUGAGGUGUGAUGACGAGGCACUACGGUGCUGAAGUAACAAAUGCCCUGCUUCCAGGAAAAGCCUCUAAGCAUCAGGUAACAUUAAAUCGUACCCCAAACCGACACAGGUGGUCAGGUAGAGAAUACCAAGGCGCUUGAGAGAACUCGGGUGAAGGAACUAGGCAAAAUGGUGCCGUAACUUCGGGAGAAGGCACGCUGGUGUGUAGGUGAAGCCCCUGCGGGUGGAGCUGAGACCAGUCGAAGAUACCAGCUGGCUGCAACUGUUUAUUAAAAACACAGCACUGUGCAAACACGAAAGUGGACGUAUACGGUGUGACGCCUGCCCGGUGCCGGAAGGUUAAUUGAUGGGGUUAUCCGUAAGGAGAAGCUCUUGAUCGAAGCCCCGGUAAACGGCGGCCGUAACUAUAACGGUCCUAAGGUAGCGAAAUUCCUUGUCGGGUAAGUUCCGACCUGCACGAAUGGCGUAAUGAUGGCCAGGCUGUCUCCACCCGAGACUCAGUGAAAUUGAACUCGCUGUGAAGAUGCAGUGUACCCGCGGCAAGACGGAAAGACCCCGUGAACCUUUACUAUAGCUUGACACUGAACAUUGAGCCUUGAUGUGUAGGAUAGGUGGGAGGCUUUGAAGCGUGGACGCCAGUCUGCGUGGAGCCAACCUUGAAAUACCACCCUUUAAUGUUUGAUGUUCUAACGUUGGCCCCUUACCGGGGUUGCGGACAGUGUCUGGUGGGUAGUUUGACUGGGGCGGUCUCCUCCCAAAGCGUAACGGAGGAGCACGAAGGUUAGCUAAUCCUGGUCGGACAUCAGGAGGUUAGUGCAAUGGCAUAAGCUAGCUUGACUGCGAGCGUGACGGCGCGAGCAGGUGCGAAAGCAGGUCAUAGUGAUCCGGUGGUUCUGAAUGGAAGGGCCAUCGCUCAACGGAUAAAAGGUACUCCGGGGAUAACAGGCUGAUACCGCCCAAGAGUUCAUAUCGACGGCGGUGUUUGGCACCUCGAUGUCGGCUCAUCACAUCCUGGGGCUGAAGUAGGUCCCAAGGGUAUGGCUGUUCGCCAUUUAAAGUGGUACGCGAGCUGGGUUUAGAACGUCGUGAGACAGUUCGGUCCCUAUCUGCCGUGGGCGCUGGAGAAUUGAGGGGGGCUGCUCCUAGUACGAGAGGACCGGAGUGGACGCAUCACUGGUGUUCGGGUUGUCAUGCCAAUGGCACUGCCCGGUAGCUAAAUGCGGAAGAGAUAAGUGCUGAAAGCAUCUAAGCACGAAACUUGCCCCGAGAUGAGUUCUCCCUGAGACUUUAAGUCUCCUGAAGGAACGUUGAAGACGACGACGUUGAUAGGCCGGGUGUGUAAGCGCAGCGAUGCGUUGAGCUAACCGGUACUAAUGAACCGUGAGGCUUAACCUU
rnacentral:rRNA from 1 species